rnacentral:lncRNA from 1 species
AGCAACCUGUUGGGGUUCCCUUCCACAAUGUAGAGCCUUUGUUGUUUUGCUCUUUGUAAUAAAUCUCGCUGUUGCUGAGUUUUUGAGUCUGCCCUGCCUUUAUGAGUUGUAACACUCACCGUGAAGGUCUGUAGCUUCACCCCUGAGGCCAGUGAAACCACGAACCCACCAGGAGGAAUGAACAACUCCAGACGCGCCUGCCUUAAGAGCUGUACCACUCACCUUGAAGGUCUGCAGUUUCUCUUCUGAAGCCAGCGAGGCUACGAACCCACCAGAAGUAAGAAACUCUGAACGUGUAUGAACAUCAGAAGGAACAAACUCUGGACACAUCACCUUGAAGAACUGUAACACUCACCGCGAGGGUCCACGUCCUCAUUUUUGAGAAUCCCAGUGUGCUCAUCCCAUCUGUGACUCCUGGUCACCGACACAUAAAGUGUAGCACACUGCCAAGCAGCACCUAACUUUCAGAUUUCAUGGUGAACUUGUCCGUGUGGGAAAAGGAGUCCUCGCAACUACUGAGGAUGCUAUUGCUUACUUUGGAGGCAAGAAAUUAUUCUAAACCUAAUUAAUCCACCGCAUCAUAAAAACUUACACCGUUGCUGUCUGAAUUUGUCUAGAAGAGACUGCUGCACAAGUAUUUUCUAAGAAUCGCUUGAGAACCUGCUAAGAUACUUCCAGGCCCAGAUAAUUUAGGUUGUAAUGCAAGAUUAAGAAACUGAUGUACAGGAGAAAAACCCAGGCAAUCAGCCAUAAUUUGGCUACACUUUUUAAGAAAAUGUUAUCUAGAUAUAUUUCUCAUUAGAGCUUACCAUGCUUUAAUGUAUCUCAAUAAAGUCUCCAUGAAUACCUAAAAUGUUACAAUUCACAGCCUUAAACUAAAUUUUCUGUUUUGUUUUAAAGUUAUUAUAGUUAAAAUUAGGAGAUUUAGCCUGGUAUCAUGACCUAUGUCUGUGGUCUCAGCUACUCGGGAAGCUGAGACAGGAGGAUCACUUGAACCAAAGUGAUCAAGGCUGCAGUGAGCUAUGUUUGGGUGACUGCACUUCAGCCUGUAAAACAGAGCAAGAUCCUGUCUCAAUAAAAUAAACUAAGAUAAAAGAAGAGAAAUACGAGUAAAAAAUAUAAUUUUUCCUACUUUUCAAUAAGCAUAAGUGUUUUUUGGUUUUGUUUUGUUGCAAAUUCACUAUAUAAUAACCAAUCCAGCAAGAUUGGUAAGUAGGACCA